rnacentral:rRNA from 1 species
CCUACGGGAGACAACAGGGAGGAAUAUUGGGCAGUGGGCGGUAGCCUGAACCAGCCAAGUAGCGUGAAGGAUGACUGCCCUAUGGGUUGUAGACUUCUUUUAUAUGGGAAUAAAGUGCAGUAUGUAUACUGCUUUGCAUGUCCCGUAUGAAUAAGAAUCGGCUAACUCCGGUCCAGAAGCCGCGGUAAUACUGAGGAUUCGAGCGUUAGCCGGAUUUAUUGGGUUUAAAGGGAGCGUAGGCGGGUUGUUAAGUCAGUUGUGAAAGUUUGCGGCUCAACCGUAAAAUUGCAGUUGAUACUGGUAUCCUUGAUUACAGUAGAGGUAGGCGGAAUUCGUGGUGUAGCGGUGAAAUGCUUAGAUAUCACGAAGAACUCCGAUUGCGAAGGCAGCCUGCUGGACUGUAACUGACGCUGAUGCUCGAAAGUGUGGGUAUCAAACAGGAUUAGAUACCCGGGUAGUC